AGGCCUAUAGUUCAAUGGCAGAAUACCGGUCUCCAAAACCGUUGAUCUCAGUUCGACUCUGGGUAGGCCUGCCA
rnacentral:tRNA from 1 species